rnacentral:lncRNA from 1 species
CCCAGCAAUCAGAGCCUCCAGGCCCAGGAGGAUGAAAAGAACAUGGAGACGAGAGGCUCCAAAUGGAGUAGCCCUCUGCCAGCUCACAUCCCUCUUUCAGGGGCUGCAGCUUGGACAUCCCAAGACUGGCCAGGUUACAGCCCACAGGAGGCGAGGAGUGCUCCCCUUUACCUCAGGAAGUCCGAUGUCCGCCCCAGCUGUCUUCUGCCCCAGGGAAAGCAGUGAAGGAGGAGACUGCAAGCAUCGGGAUGCCCAGGCCCCAAGGAGGCCCUCUUCCUGCAGAUCCGAGAAGGACUGGACACCUUUCUGGGACUGCAGCACCAGGGUGGCUACGCCUCCCGGCUGGAUCAGGAUUCCUGUCAUCCAUCUGCUGGCCCUUUGGACCACUCGGCCACUGGCAUGCUUUCCAAGUCUGUACCC